rnacentral:misc_RNA from 1 species
GUCACAAUUCAGCAAGAUUUUCACUUCUUCCAGGGUUGAUGAAGCAAUUACAAAGUUGCUUGCACAGUGAGUACUGUCGUUGGAUCCUGAACCUGAACCAUCACAUUGAGAUGCCAAGUAACCUACAACUUUGUCCCUAGUUGAAGCAGCCUGACAAACUGGAUCAAUAGCUGAAGUGGGUUCCGCAAAAUCUGCUGAAUCAUUUAUGAUACGUUCAGUUCUCUGCUUAAUGUGUUCUCUGCUGUGACAAAUACUGGGAACAUUUUUU